AGAAAAAGAUUGGAUGCUUUCUGAUUUGGAAAACACUCAUAAGUAUAAGGUCACAGAUCUCGAAGCACAACUGGAAAAUAUGAGGAGAAUGGGAGACAACUUACAGGAGGAUUUUAAAAGGAAACAUGCCGAAUUGGAUCGCUUUGCUCGGGAAAAAGAAGAAAUGUUGGCCAACGCUAAACAAGUUCGUCAGAAGCAACUAAACAUUGAUCAACUUCACUAUCAGUUGACAACAGUGAAUCGUCGGGCCAGCGAAGAAAUGAAUGUUUUGAAGCAGCAGAACUCUGAUCUCAAGCUGCCGGUAACCCAAGCAAGACAACAGGCUGACCAAUUUUACAAAACGGGUUUGGAGAGAAAUAUUGAUGCCGUAUCAUUAUAAUAAACCAGUUGUCAGCAUGCAUUAAAAUUGGAUCUUGCCAGUCACGGAAAACCUUUGAAUACGUACAAUCCAGAAAGUCAGUUUAUACAAGACCUUCGAGAGAAAGAAGUCAAGCUGCUCAACGGAUUAAUGGAUUAACAAAAGAACGCGAACAGUUGAUUAAAAUUGGGAAAUAAGCUGACAGCUGAAUUGUUGAAAUAUAAAGGGUUUCACUGAGGAAGAAAGACAACUUCAACAGAAUAUUCGCAAAUUACAAAACCAACUCGAAGCUAAAGAACAGGAACAUCGUCAAAGGGAAUGGAGACUUGUGGACAAACUGUAGGAAAAUGAUGUCACAAUACAGACGCUAAAUCAAUCAAUCGCAAACUUAAAGAGCAAGAUGGACUAACAGAACCAGGAAUAUUCCAGAUUAACUGUAGCAAAGGAUGUUGAACUGGAAACGUUGCAUCAACAGGAUGCCAAUAUGAGAUCUGAACUCGCGCGGAGAAAAAAUAAUUUUGAGAGGAGGCAGAAAGAGUUGUCUUUAUCUUUGGAAAGAGAGUCGUCGUUGGAACGUUCUAGGGCUGAGCUAGAGUUAGAUUGGCAGCGCAGAUAUGAAUAGGAAGA